rnacentral:lncRNA from 10 species
AAUGAAAACAUGGACUCCCCAUAUUCACAGCAGAGAAGUUUUUCACAUUGAACACAGACCAGAGAAGUGUUUCCACUAAUUUAUAUCUGAUAUGUGAAGGGCUAAGAAGUCAUCACUCCCAUCUUCAUAACAAGAAAAAAAGCUGAACAAACUGGAAAUCAACAACUAUGCUUAGGUUCAUCAGAAAACUGAGGUCAUUGGCUAAAUUGCAGCCCUGGAAGACAGACACAUGGAUACAGAGAAUCAUAGCUUAACAGGAACAGAAAACUGGAAGCAGAAGGCCUUAGCUUUCUGUAGGAACACUAACUGUCAUUGGUGAAUUGCUGGAAGGUUAGUGUGGACUAGCUUGUGAGUUAAAAAAUCCAAAGGGACCCAGUCUCAGGGGCACCCCGCACUUUCAUGAGUUUUACCUCCAGGAAACCUACCAGGUUCUCAAUAUCCCCUGUGCUUCUGGCAGGGAGAGGAAAGCUCUGAAAUACAUCCAGACCUCUCUGAUCUCCUUAAAAAAGCUUGUCCCUAAGGGAAUCUAUUUUACCAGAACCUAACAGGCUGGAGUUUUACCAAAGCCUGAUCAACAAAAUAUCCAACUCAGGCUCGCUAAAAGACUGAGACUUAAUUAUGGACAGGAGAACACUUCCUCUUCUCCCACACCUUGCGACCACAUCAAUAAGGCUAUUGUAUAAUAACAGGGGAUUACAGCAAAAAGAACUGCAGGCCUCUGACCAUAUUUAAAGAGUGCCAAAGGAAACCCAAAGACAAUAGAGUAGACAAAAGCAAGGAUACUAGAGGAAAUUUUAGUCUCUGACACUAUAGCUACAGCAAAUAGUAAGCAGAAUCUAACUCCUAGUCACAUAAAUAUAAAACCUUGCACUAAAGACCUAUCUAUCACAGUUCCUUUUAUAUCAUAUCCAGCCUUCAACAAAGAAUUACAAGCCACUCUAAAAGGCAAAAACAAAGUCUGAAGAGACAAAGCAAGCAUCAGAACCAGACUCAAGUGUGGCACAGAUUUGGGAACUAUCAGACAAGGAAUUUAAAACAACUAUGAUUAAUACGCCAAUGGUUCUAAUGGAAAAAGUGGACAGUGCAAGAACAAGUGAGUAAUAAAAGCAGAGAGAUGAAAGUGCAAAGAAGGAAACAAAUGAAAAUGCAAGAAAUCAAAAACACUGUAACAUAAAUAAUGCCUUUGAUGGGCUCAUAAGUAGAUUGGACAUAGCUGAGGAAAGAAUCAGUGAGCUUAAAGAUGAGUCCACAGAAACUCCCCAAACUGAAAUGCAAAAAGAAAAAAGAAAUAAAAAGUCAGAACAGAGUAUCUAAGAACUGUGGGCUAUUAGAAAAGGUAUAUGAUACAGUUUAGAUGUUCUGCCCCCUCCAAAUUUCAUGUUGAAAUGUGAUCCCCAAUGCUAGAGGUGGGGCCUGGUAGGAGGUGUUUCGGUCAUGGGGGCAGAUGCAUCAGGGAUGGCUUAGUGCCCUCCUCAUGAUAAUGAAUGAGUUAUCAUUCUACGUUCAUGUGAGUCCUGGUUGUUUAAAAGAAUGUGGUAUCUCGUCACUUUCCCUCUCUCAGCAUGUGAUAUGCUAGCUGCCCUUUCCUUCUGCCAUGAUUGUAAGCUUCCUGAGGACCUAACCAGAAGUAGAUGGUGGCACCUUGCUUCCUGUACAGCCUGCAGAACCAUGGGCCAAAAUGAAUCUGUUUUCUUUAUACAUUAACCAGUCUCAGGUAUUCCUUUAUAGCAAUGCAAAUGGACUGACACAGAAUAACACAUGUAUAAUGGGAAUACUGGAAGGAGGAGAGAAAAAGGAACAGAAGCAACAUUUAAAGCAACAAUUACUGAGAAUGUCCCAAAAUGAAUGACAGACACAAAGCUACAGAUCUGCAAAACUCAGAGAACAUCUAGGAGGAUAAAUACCAAAAAACCUAUAUCUAGGCAUAUUAUAUUCGAAUUAUAGAAAAUCUUUUUUAAAAGCUAGAGGAAAAAGAACACCUUACCUACAGUUGCACAAGUAUAAGAUUUACACCAAACUUAUACUCAGAAACCAUAUAAGCAAGAAGAGUGUGGAGUAAAAUAUUUAUCCCGUCUUAAAAAAAAAGACUACUAACCUAAAAUUCUGUAUCCAACAGAAUUAUCCUUCAAAAGUGAAGAAGUUUGGGAAAAAUAAAAAAGUUCUGGGGGUGGAUGGUGGUGAUAGUGGUACAACAAUGUGAAUGUACUUAAUGCCACUGAACUAUACACUUAAAAGUGGUUAAAAUAGUAUAUUUUAUGUUAUAUAUAUUUUGCCACAAUUUUUUAAAGUGAAGUAGUAAAUACUAAAGACUUUCUGAGACCAACAAAAAUGGAGAAAAUUUGUCACCAGUAGACUUGCCUUGCAAGUAAUAUUUUAAAAAGUUCUUCAGAGAGAAGAAAAAUAUAUCGGCAGAAACUCAGAUCUGUAUUAAAAAAAAUGGAAGAGCAUUAGGAAAGAAAAAAAGAAGGUAAAAUAUUAAAUUUUUCUUAUUAUUUAUUGAUCUAACAGAACAGUUUGUUCAAAAUAACAAUGACAAUGCAUUCAGUGAUUAUAGCUUAUUUGUGAAUGAAAUGAAUGAUAGUCAUUUUAUAAGAGACAAGAGAGAAGAAUUGGGAAUACUGUUUUAUAUAGUACUUGUACUACCAUGAUGUGGUAUAAUAUUACUUAAAAGUGCACUUAGAUUGGUUGUAAACAUAUUCUAAAAACUCUAGGGCAACCACUAAAAAUCGUACUUAAAAAAGAAGUAUAAUUAAUAUGCCAAGAGAAGAAAAAGUAGAAUCAUAUAAAUUGCCUAAUUAAAACCAGAGAAGUGGAAGACAAAAAAGCAAAGAAAAGAGAGAAAGAAAAAAGUAAGAAUGAAUGAGCAAACAAAGGAAAGAAAUAGAAAAUAUGUACAAAUAUGAUCGCUAUUAAUCCAACUAUAUCAAUCACUUUAAAUGUGAAUAGUCUAAAUACAUCAAUUAAAAGACAAAGACUGUCAAAGUGGAUAAACAAACAAGACCCAAUUAUAACUUGUCUACUAGAAACCCACCUUAAAUAUAAAGUUACAGAUUAAUUUCACUAUGCAGGUGAAGGAAAAUGAGACUCAGAGGACUAAGGCAUCAUAUUCUUGCAGAUUUUAAGUGGCAGAGCCAGAAUCAGACUGAAGUUUAGUUAACUACAUAGUCUCUAGUCUCUCCUUCAAACUGUGUUGCCUGGAAAGGGUCUUUAUAUUUCAUGCUGUGAGAAACAGAUAAUCUCUUCCAAAGUUUACUCGUAAUACAUCAGAUUACCCUGGCCAAUUCUCUUUUUCAGUCUCAUUUUAUUUAUUUAGUUAGUUAGUUAGUCAGUUAGUUAGUUUUUGAGAUGGAGUCUCGCUCUGUCGCCCAGGCUGGAGUGCAGUGGCACGAUCUCAGCUCACUGCAAGCUGCGCCUCCCGGGUUCAUGCCAUUCUCCUGCUUCAGCUCCCGAGUAGCUGGGACUACAGGCGCCUGCCACCACGCCCGGCUAAUAUAUAUAUAUAUAUAUAUAUAUUUUAGUAGAGACAGGGCUUCGCCGUGUUAGCCAAGAUGGUUUAGUCUCAUUUUUUUUUUUUUUUUUUUUUUUUUGAGACGGAGUCUGGCUCUGUCGCCCAGGCUGGAGUGCAGUGGCGCGAUGGUUUAGACUCAUUUUUAAAAGACUUUAGUUGUUCAGAAGAGUAGAGUGAUAUAGUUGAAUAGUGGCAAAAGAACUAACUGAGGGGCAAAAAGAGGCUAUUAACAGUUAUUGAGAGACUGUAUGUACAUGACAUUCUCCUAGACCCUGGUAGAGCAUAGCGACAACACUGUCACCUCAAAUGAAGAACAUUACAAUCUAGAAAUGGAAAUCUCAACACCUUAUUUUUUUUCUAGGCCUACUAGAAAAAAUAAAAAAGUAAAUUAGUAUAAUCCACUUUUACCAAAAAUUUUCAAAAUUUUCAAAAUUCCUUGAGAAUAUUUAUAGACUUCUAAAAGUAAAACAUAAAAUUGUUUUAGACAAUUAUCCAACAUUUGAAAAUAAAGCAAAGUUUGAAUGUCUCUUCCAUGAUAAAAUGGAGCAUAGCCCAAGAAGCCAUCAAAGCAUUAUUUAAUUAUCUAUGUGGUUAUAGUUUUGUGUGACCUACUGUUUACUACUGAAUUGACCCAGCAUUAUGAAGCUGUAAAUUGACUGGUAGAUUUGUGUCUUGAAGAAAUGCAAAUUGCUUCUACCCAGAAAAGAAAAAAAAAAAGAUAAUCUCAAAGGUUAUAGUUUUAUUUUCCUACUGGAUGUUUGAUAAUUUAAUAUGUAUACUAGAAAACGAAUUCAUAUGAUUUUCCUGAGAAAAUAUACAACCUAUACAACCUACACAGCCUACUCAUCUAGUUCUCUUGAACCAGCUGUACCAUCUUGCUGGUUCUCUCAUUAAAUAAGCUAAAUCAAUCUUUGACAAAUGUUCCCUCUAUAUUUGUGUAAGAGUCAUGUUUUCAACUUUUUAAAAAAAUUAUAUUUUGACAGAUUUGAAGGUUGCCCUAAAGGUGCAUAGUGUGUUCACCUGCUAGAGCUAGUUAAGCAGAGUUGCCCAAGAAACUCCUGGGGUGAAUCACAAACAGCAAUAGAAUUUUCCCUUUCGGACUGUCAGAUUUGUCUUCUGAUUCUGUUUUUCUUUUCUUUUCUUUUUUUCUGGUUUGUUUCAUUGUCGCUCCUGAUCUUGGCCAGGAAGUUCCACAUUUGUUUAACUUAUUGUCUAGGAUUAUGUCCAUUUUCACAACUGCUACUGGAUCACAAGGUUGGGCUUAAUUAUGUAAUCAAGAGAACCCUCAUGUAUAAAACAGGUGUAUAAAACAGCCGAUUCCAGAGACUAGUAGGUACUGAAUAACUAGGGAUGAAAAAAAAAAAAAAACUACUGCCUUUCAUUUCUCUACUCUUCCGACAACUCUGAGAACAAUGGUUCCUGAGAGUGACAAUAUCUGAGGAAAGAGCAGGUCCUGCAACCAACGAGAAAUUCUCCUGCAGCAUUUCAAAGCAGUUUACAUGAGCACAAUUCAGAUGGAUGUGUUUUCAACCACACACCUGGCAAGUCACCACACAGUGCUGUGCAACUGAUAUCAUUUGAGAAGAAGAGGAUAACUGAGUUCCUGUUGGAAAAACAGCAAUUUGAAAGUACUGCUUAAAUGAACACAAGAUGGUGUCAGGAUUCCAAGUUUCUAGUUCUUUCUAGGGAGUUACCUAAGGUCUAAGUUUUAUCCUGAACAGAAUCUCUUGGGGAACUAAAAUGCUACCAAUGAAAAGCUCUUGAUACUCCUACAUCAUGAAUAUUAUUGAGCUCUAAAACUUGAACUGGUCGUGUCAGGAGAACCUUUAACUGCUCAUGGCAGUUCUUGUGGACUGAGAGGAAGUACUACUGGAGAUCUUGGUGAUAGUGGCCAAAAGGAAAGGGUAUGAUUAUGAUUGCUGGGAAGCAGAUGGCUUUUGAAUAUGUUCAUCCAAAUCCUAAGCCAGAGACUGUGUUUAGUGCUUGUUCCUCCUGGGAAGGCUUAUGGUAAACAAAAAUACAGUUUAACAUGUUUAAUGUUUUGAAAUUCUGGGAGAAGAAUAGAAAUAUUCAUUUGUUCCUAGGUGUCCACAUGAGCAUGGAGGUAUUCUAAAGUGUAAGAAGUGACAGCAUAGGCAUGGUUAAAAUCUCAGAUUCUGACCUCAUCCUGGCUCCUCCACUUACUACCUUCAGCAUUAGCUCAAUAAACCUCAAUGCUUUGUCUAUAAGAUUAUGGUGACAAUUACAUUUAGUUAAAAGAUUAUAAAGUUUCGGCCGUACACGGUGGCUCACGCCUGUAAUCCCAGCACUUUGAGAGGCCGUGGCGGAUCACGAGGUCAGGAGAUAGAGACCAUCCUAGCUAACACGGUGAAACCCUGUCUCUACUAAAAAUACAAAAAAUUAGCCGGGCGUGGUUGCAGGUGCCUGUAGUCCCAGCUACUUGGGAGGCUGAGGCAGGAGAAUGGCCUGAACCUGGGAGGCGGAGCUUGCAGUGAGCCGAGAUCGCUCCACUGCAUUCC